UACGUAGGGUGCGAGCGUUAAUCGGAAUUACUGGGCGUAAAGCGUGCGCAGGCGGUUCGUUGUGUCGGCGGGGAAAGCCCCGGGCUUAACCUGGGAAUGGCCGUUGAAACUGGCGAACUGGAGUGUGGCAGAGGGGGGUGGAAUUCCGCGUGUAGCAGUGAAAUGCGUAGAGAUGCAGAGGAACACCGAUGGCGAAGGCAGCCCCCUGGGCUAACACUGACGCUCAGGCACGAAAGCGUGGGGAGCAAACAGG
rnacentral:rRNA from 1 species